rnacentral:rRNA from 1 species
GAACCGUACGAACGUUAUUCGGAAUCACUGGGCUUAAAGGGUGCGUAGGCGGUCGCUUAAGUCGGAUGUGAAAGCCCUCGGCUUAACUGAGGAAGUGCAUCCGAAACUGAACGGCUGGAGUACGAAAGAGGGUCGCGGAAUUCCCGGUGUAGAGGUGAAAUUCGUAGAUAUCGGGAGGAACACCGGUGGCGAAGGCGGCGACCUGGGUCGAGACUGACGCUGAGGCGCGAAAGCGUGGGGAGCAAACAGGAUUAGAUACCCUGGUAGUCCACGCCGUAAACGAUGGGUGCUAGAUGUUGCUGGUAUUGACCCCGGCGGCGUCGUAGCUAACGCGUUAAGCACCCCGCCUGGGGAGUACGGCCGCAAGGCUA